UGAACGCUAGCGGCAGGCCUAACACAUGCAAGUCGAACGGUAACAGAUCCCUCGGGAUGCUGACGAGUGGCGCACGGGUGCGUAACACGUAUGCAAUCUACCUCUAACUGGAGAAUAGCCCAGGGAAACUUGGAUUAAUACUCCAUAAUAUUAUGUUAUCGCAUGAUGAUAUAAUUAAAGCUUCAGCGGUUAGAGAUGAGCAUGCGCCCUAUUAGCUAGUUGGUGAGGUAAUGGCUCACCAAGGCAACGAUAGGUAGGGGGUCUGAGAGGAUUAUCCCCCACACUGGUACUGAGACACGGACCAGACUCCUACGGGAGGCAGCAGUGAGGAAUAUUGGGCAAUGGACGAAAGUCUGACCCAGCCAUGCCGCGUGCAGGAUGACUGCCCUAUGGGUUGUAAACUGCUUUUAUAUAGGAAGAAACUUUUCUACGUGUAGAAAACUGACGGUACUAUUUGAAUAAGGACCGGCUAACUCC
rnacentral:rRNA from 1 species